rnacentral:rRNA from 1 species
AACAGGGCUUCCCGUCCGCUCAGCCGUACUUAAGCCACACGCCGGGAGGUUAGUAGUUGGGUGGGUGACCACCAGCGAAUCCCUUCUGUUGUAUGUU